CUUCAGCUGAGCAGUCAUAAUAGCAAUCCCUGAAAGUUGCUCAACACCCCCUUCAAGCAGUGAAGCAGACAGUUUGGGGAAAGAUGGAUGGGAAGUCUGGAAUCUCCAGAAAUGAAUGCGGCCCUACUGACAUCUUCAUUUUAGACCAGCAAGACCAGUUCAGAUUUCUGACCUCCAGAAGUUGUCUGGAGGCUCAAAUUUGGAAAGAAUUUCUAAGGGCUUCUGCCCCCUAAGACCACCACUUCUGCUCUCAAACAAAACAUGGAGUUCUGGGAUGGCAAUUUAAGGAUUUGAGUUUUCUUUCUCUACGAAUGUGUCUAGAAGAAGCAACUUAUAAAACACAUCUGGAAAACACUCAUCUAUGAAAUGGAAA